GAUGAACGCUAGCGGCAGGCCUAAUACAUGCAAGUCGAACGGUGUCUUCGGACAUAGUGGCGCACGGGUGCGUAACACGUAUGCAACCUACCUUACAUUGGGGGAUAGCCUUUCGAAAGGGAGAUUAAUACCGCAUAAGACAGUAGUCUGGCAUCAGACAGCUGUUAAAGAUUUAUCGAUGUAAGCUGGGCAUGCGUCCAAUUAGUUAGUUGGCGGGGUAACGGCUCACCAAGACUAUGAUUGGUAGGGGAACUGAGAGGUCAAUCCCCCACACUGGCACUGAGAUACGAGCCAGACUCCUACGGGAGGCAGCAGUAGGGAAUAUUGGGCAAUGGACGCAAGUCUGACCCAGCCAUGCCGCGUGCAGGAAGAAGGCGUUAUGCGUUGUAAACUGCUUUUAUACAGGAAGAAACGACUCUUGCGAGAGGCAUUGACGGUACUGUAUGAAUAAGCACCGGCUAACUCCGUGCCAGCCGCCGCGGUAAUAC
rnacentral:rRNA from 1 species